GAUGAAGAACGCAGCGAAAUGCGAUAAGUAAUGUGAAUUGCAGAAUUCAGUGAAUCAUCGAAUCUUUGAACGCACAUUGCGCCCGCCAGUAUUCCGGCGGGCAUGCCUGUUCGAGCGUCAUUACAACCCUCAGGCCCCCGGGCCUGGCGUUGGGGAUCGGCGGAAGCCCCCUGCGGGCACAACGCCGUCCCCCAAAUACAGUGGCGGUCCCGCCGCAGCUUCCAUUGCGUAGUAGCUAACACCUCGCAACUGGAGAGCGGCGCGGCCACGCCGUAAAACACCCAACUUCUGAAUGUUGACCUCGAAUCAGGUAGGAAUACCCGCUGAACUUAAGCAUAUCAAUAAGCGGAGGA
rnacentral:misc_RNA from 1 species